CCCAGCCGUGGGAUGUGGGCACUGCUGUCAUCUCACGGAGGCCCUGAGGGCUUCGUCAGAGUGGCAGAUCUCAGCUCUGAGCACGGUCAGCUGGCUUGGGCUGGGGUCUCGACCUUACUGCGUGCCACAGUCAGAAGGAGCCGAAGCAUCUCAGGGGCGGGGAGAGUCUGGGUCAUGUCUGGGUCCCUGGUGACCACCAGCGUCUGUCCACGGUAGGUGCUUGGGAAGGGUGGUCACUUAGACAUGGGAGUGGUGAGAGGGGAUGGGCAAGGGGCUGCUGAGCACCCCCCAGAGAGACCUGCUGUUCUGUGGUGACCCACCUGUGCUUACUCCACCGCGAUGGCCACAGGGCCUAUUUGCAUAGCACAGCCCUGCCAGGGAGCAUGCUGACGCCAGUCCUCAUGGUACAGGGAACACGGGGGUCGCACGCCCACAGCCAUGCAGCAGGACCUGUCCUGGCAAACUCCUGACCUCAGCCUCGGGAGCGACACCUCACCAAUUGCUUUCACCGGAUUUCCCGGCCUGUGUGGCUCCAGGCCUGGGUCCACAAAGCCACAGAAUAUGCAGGACUCAUCUUCCUGGUGGUCAACUUUACCAAAAGGCAUGGGCCCAAAAUUUGUAAUGCAGUGGUCAAGUAAUUUUAACUCUUUAAUUUUUAGCCAGCGUGGAUGUAGUAUGGAGUAGAAAGUAAAACUCUCAGGAAUUUUAAAGAUAAAAGCCAAGGACUUGGAUGAACUUCACUGCUCAAAGCCAGCUGCUUUGGGCUCUGCCCCUGUGAGGGCUGGUCCUCCCCUGGGCCUGUGGGACGGGGCUGGGAAAGCCUCGGCAGCAGAGGAUGUACGUGUGCUCCUCGGUUGGCACAGUUGGCAGAGUGGCGAGUACACAGCCCCCGGCCGAGCCUAGGGCACCUGUAUCAGCCCCACUGUCCAGCCUGGCCCCUGGGAGCUGAACGCAGGCACUCACCUCUGGGGCAAAAGAAGCCGGCAGGGCAGGGGUGCUCGUGGUAGGUGCUGACACUCUCAGGGCAGUAGUAGCCGGCGGGGCAGGGGAAGCAGGAGGCUUGGCCAGUCAGGUUGCUGUAGGAGCCAGCAGGGCAAGGCUGGGAGAGGCUGGUCCCCCUGGGGCAUAAGUGACCUCGGGGACAGGGGCCCCCCUUCUCUGAGUGGCCUGAGGAGAGGAAGGAAGCUGAGUGAGGGGUUCAGGCCCCAUCACAGGGGAGUGUGAGCAGCCUGGGCCGACUGGUGUGGCACUACUGGGACCAAAUGCGGGCUUGGGUCUGGGUCAGAGGUUCGAGUGUUUUAGAAAGAAUUCUGGUAACUAAUGGUUGUAUAGCACCUUCCAGAUCAAAACCACGUUGUAUCGUCUGAGCCUCCCAGAAGCCCUCUUUGGCAGCUGGGCAGGAAUAAGCACCCACUUUUACUGGGGUGACGUUAUGCCCAGUGACUCUCUGUGCCCAGACUCAGCUGGUGUCUGACAGUCCCCUGGCGCUCUCUCAAGGGCACGCUCUG
rnacentral:lncRNA from 1 species